UGCACCGAGCGGAUGAGUUGCGAACGGGUGAGUAACGCGUAGGUAACCUGCCUCUUAGCGGGGGAUAACUAUUGGAAACGAUAGCUAAUACCGCAUAAAAGUCGAUAUCGCAUGAUAUUGAUUUGAAAGGUGCAAUUGCAUCACUAAGAGAUGGACCUGCGUUGUAUUAGCUAGUUGGUGAGGUAACGGCUCACCAAGGCGACGAUACAUAGCCGACCUGAGAGGGUGAUCGGCCACACUGGGACUGAGACACGGCCCAGACUCCUACGGGAGGCAGCAGUAGGGAAUCUUCGGCAAUGGGGGCAACCCUGACCGAGCAACGCCGCGUGAGUGAAGAAGGUUUUCGGAUCGUAAAGCUCUGUUGUAAGAGAAGAACGAGUGUGAGAGUGGAAAGUUCACACUGUGACGGUAACUUACCAGAAAGGGACGGCUAACUACGUGCCAGCAGCCGCGGUAAUACGUAGGUCCCGAGCGUUAUCCGGAUUUAUUGGGCGUAAAGCGAGCGCAGGCGGUUAGAUAAGUCUGAAGUUAAAGGCUGUGGCUUAACCAUAGUACGCUUUGGAAACUGUUUAACUUGAGUGCAGAAGGGGAGAGUGGAAUUCCAUGUGUAGCGGUGAAAUGCGUA
rnacentral:rRNA from 1 species